AUUAAAGGUGUGAGCCACUGCACCCGGCCGGCCUUGUACUUUUGAGGCGGUGUUGACUCUUGCAAUCCAUAGCUUUGAGAGCUCCCCAUCCGAAUCUCAGGCACACUUGACUUUUUCACUCUCGUAGGAGUGAUCUCCUUAGUCCAUCGAUCAAACUGCUGAGAGCAGGCCAUGGCCUGCCUGCUGUCAUGGCCCGUGAAGCAGAAUUGGAGAUGAGAGGGGAGGACCUGGGCUGGAGAGUGGGCAGGAGGAGAUCCUGCAAACAGGGAACUGAGAGAGGGGAGGGAGGAGGAGGGUUUGAGAGUGGGGAGGGGAGCUGGGGGUGCUCCCUGAAGACCAGGAGGAGAGGAAGGAGGGGAGCUGCAGGCUAUGAACGGGGCUGCAGGUUAUGAAUGGGGCACUCCGGCGUUCUGAGAACUGAGCACUCCGACAUUCUGAGAACUGGGCACAGGGGCACCAGGCCCUAAGUGAGUUCUGCUCCGGGGUGGCCGGGCCCGAGAGCACUGACGUCCAACGGGAGUGUCGCUGCCCACCGCCUCCCACAAGAGGACACUUCGAUUUGCCAGAGAAGGGCAGAGUGGGAGAUGACUUUUUCUCAGCAUCUUGCCUCAUUUUCCUCUUCCCAGAGGUUUGUUUUUAAGGAAGUUUAAGCUUGCUGCACUGGAAAAGCAAAAAACAAUAUUUUGUAAAAUAAAUAUUUGUUUUGUGCAGACUUAGGCCUUUCCACAUAUUGGUUUUUCUUGAAGAGGAGACACAACCACAGCAGGGGUGAGGAGAAGAGAGAUGCAGUCACUCACUCAUUCAGGAAUAAUCUUUGAGUUGAAACUGCAGUCUGCUCUUGGCCAAAGAAACUGCAAGCUAAUUCUAAACUUAUAUGAAAAUGAAAAGGCACUUAAAUAACUCACACAACUUUGAAAGAGAAAAUCUUCCAAAUCUUCUUUGGAAGAUUCACACUUGAUUUUUGCAAGAGGUACAAUAAUGCCACUGUAAUCAAAACAGUGUGAUAUUGUCAUAAGGACAAACAAGUCGGUCAACAGAACAAAAUAGAGUCUUGGAAAUAAACGCAUGUAUAUAUGGUCAAUAGAUCUUUUUCAACAAAGUGCCCACAUAACUUGUUG
rnacentral:lncRNA from 1 species